rnacentral:lncRNA from 1 species
UCUCAUUUAUUCUUGGUUUCUCUCCCUCCAACAAACUUCUGCAACCCAAACGAAGCCGAAAGAUCUACACCAUGGGAACAACAGUAUAUAUCAGCAGAAAGACACAACAAAGAAAAUAACAGAAGAUGAAACUAAGAAGUAUUUUCAUUCAUAAGCUGAGAUCAAAAGAUAUCAUGGAACACCUUCCCAGAUUAAUUAUGCAAUGAUACAUGACCAUCUCCAACCCCCACAUAAUUCAUUUAUUUACAUACUUCAUGUCAUAGUGGAAGACGAAGAAGAAGAAGAAGAGACCUCUUGUGAGGAUUACUUAAUUAGCUAGCUAGCCAGCAGACAUGGAAAUCAAACAGCAGCUCCAACAUUCUUCAGACCAACUUAUAAAAGCAAGAGAGAAAUGAGAAUGCACUUAUAGUAUCAUUAAGCAUGCAAAUAGAUAUUUAUAUAUAUGAAGAUGACUGACUGUGGGUGGAGUUGGUGAGAAAAUAAUGAAUGAAACUCUGCGUCCCCAUCUUCAAUUGUUUGUACAACAGGGCCAGUAUCCUCCUCUUGAUGCCUCCCCUAACCGGAACUAUGGCCCUAUGGUCGCCGGUCGCAGCUGCGGCCAGCCCAAUUCGCAGCACCGUCAUCGGUGUCUUCUCAACCUCCAUCAUCAUGAUCUUCUUCAUCAUGAUAUAUGUAUAUGUCACUCCACCGUCCACACCAACCAACCUUCUAGUUCUAACAGAGAGUUACUUUGCAUGAGAAAAUGUUGUUUUAUGGAGAGUAUUUAUAUAUACAUGGGGGGGAUGGGAAUGGGUGAGAGAAGGAACCUUCG